GAGUAAUAUAUAGAUAAUGUGCCUCUUAGUCUGGGAUAGCCAUUGGAAACGAUGAUUAAUACUGGAUACUCCUUCCAAACUUAAGUUUGGUUGGGAAAGUUUUUCGCUAAGAGAUCAGUCUAUAUCGCAUCAGUUAGUUGGUAGGGUAAUGGCCUACCAAGACAAUGACGCGUAGCGGGUUUGAGAGGAUGAUCCGCCACACUGGUACUGAGACACGGACCAG
rnacentral:rRNA from 1 species